CCAAACGCCAAGGCCUAAUGGUUUUGUAUAUUAGGGAAUUUUAAAUAUAUCAUUAUUGAAACGAUAGUGUUGAAUGCUUAACAUUUGGAAAAAUCGAGGUUCAAGCAUGCAUAAAGAUAACGGAACUUUCCUUAUUCUGGAGGGCAAGAAAUGUAAAAGAAUUGGAAAAUAUAAUUAAAAUUUACUUUUACAUUUUCAAAAUCUUGUUAGUUAUGAAAUCAAUAAAUGCUUGAUCUCGAUUGAGUAAUAAAUUUUCCGAUUGUCAGCAUAAUGGAGGCGAGAGUAUAAGAAAAUCAAUAUUACUGAAAUUCUAAAUUUUCAUAGGACCUUUUUAAGAUGUUCUAUAAUUAUGAAAUGAAAGCUCUUCACUUAUAAGCAUUUGGAAUUCGCUGCGCAUUAAGAUUUCGAUCAGAAAUUUCAUUAUUUACUCUUGCUUUUUGAAUUAAUUUGUUAUAUUUAGUUUCAAGCUGUUAAUGACAUUUAAAAAAAUUAAAUUGCUUUUUAUUGGUACAACUUCAUAUGUUUAGUCUAGACUCUCUAUUUGUGUUAACUUCCUUUGUGUAGAUUUGCCUUAAUUGAAUAAAUCUAAAUUACAUUAACAUAUUUGUUUUAUAUAUUGCUUGUAUUCUUUACUUGGAACUAUUUAUUACCCAUUUUCAUUACUUGAUAUUUACAACUUACUUGCUGAAAUCGUGAAUUAUUGCAAAUGCUAUAAUGUAAAAUAGGCGUUCGUAACAUUUCGGUCCGAUUACUUUAAAUUAACGUUAGAUUUUUGAAGUUUUAUUUGUUGAAAUUCAGAAAAAGGUAUUUGGGCUCGUAUUCAUACAAGUAGAAUGCUGUCGAAUAUUUUGAGAUUUCUAUAGUUUUCUAUCUCGAAUAUACCAAGCCAAGAAAGGUUUACAAUUAAGCACCUUGUCAUAGAUCAGAUUCGUGCAUCCAAAUAGCAUGUUUUUAAAUUCAGUUUGCCAAAAUGCAUUAUUCGAAUGAGAAUUGCGUGGCGAUAUGUAUUAUGAAGGCUUUUUUCCCAUCUAAUGCAUGGUGACGAUAAACGAAUAAAAUCGUUUUACGUAGAAGUAAUGUGAGGAGUGAAUUCUGUGCAAUAUCGUAGCUUGGAGUGACAAUAUAAAAGAAUGUGAGAAUAUGUGCGAUAAAACGCUGUAGGGUAUUCAGCCAUUGGAUUUUGGAUAACUAUCCUGAGUCAAUUAAUCGUAUUGGAUAUUGUAUGCAGUUUUGAUGUUUACGGUGUCAGCGGCGAGGGAAAGGAACAAAUUGUGGAACUGAAGUAGUGUUUGCAGCGUAUGUGAUUGUGUGCAAGAGUUAUGUGGUAGUAGUGGGGUCGGCAGCGGUGCGCGAGCGUGUGUGUAAAAGUAAAUAUUUAGUUGUAAUAAUGGUCGUUAUAUCAGUAUGGAUAAUGUGUGAAUAUUUGGUUUUGAAGGUAGUCGUUGUGGCAAUCCCCAUAAUAGAGAAUUGUGGAUUUAUGGUGGAGUUGGCAUGGGAAAAGCGCGCGAGUGAAUUUGGGAUUUUGGUGGCGACGGUGUGGGUAAUGCGUGUGCGAUAGAUAAUUAGAUUUUGAUGGAGACAGAAGCAUUGGUAAUGUGAGCGAGAGUAUUUUGAUAGUGGCGGAGGCGUGGGCAAUGUGUGUGUGCGAGAGGAAUUUGGUGGCGGAGGCGUGGGCAAUGUGUGUGUGUGCGAGAGGAAUUUGGUGGUGGCGGAGGCGUGGGCAAUGUGUGUGUGUGCGAGAGGAAUUUGGUGGUGGCGGAGGCGUGGGCAUUGUGUGUGUGUGCAAGAGGAAUUUGGUGGUGGCGGAGGCGUGGGCAUUGUGUGUGUGCGCGAGAGGAAUUUGGCGGAGGCGUGGGCAAUGUGUGUGUGCGCGAGAGGAAUUUGGCGGAGGCGUGGGCAAUGUGUGUGUGCGCGAGAGGAAUUUGGCGGAGGCGUGGGCAAUGUGUGUGUGUGCGCGAGAGGAAUUUGGCGGAGGCGUGGGCAAUGUGUGUGUGUGCGCGAGAGGAAUUUGGCGGAGGCGUGGGCAAUGGGUGUGUGUGUGCGAGAGGUAUUUGGUGGUGGCGUGGGCAAUGUGUGUGUGUGUGUUAGAAUGCCGGACUAUGGGGAGGCUUAGUUUUAAGAAAAUAUUGGGUAGAAUUGAAGUGGACUUAAAAUUACCAGUGUCCUUCCUAUAUGUUAAACACCUUUGUAUUUAAAUUCCACUACUUUGACAGCAAGACUUUCAUCUAAAUAUAUAAACUGAUAAUAUUUCGAAAUUUCUACCAUGUAUUGAAAUCUUAAAUCGAGAUUUAAUGAUAAUUUAGUAGAUAAAUAGAUUAAAAUUGAAGUUAGCUUUGUGAUGGCAUUUCCUAAAAUAUUUACAAAUUACAGCCCAAAGCAACAAUUGCAUUUCAUAACUACUAUAAUAAUCGAAAUAAGAUCUCCAUGGUGUGAUUAGAAUCGACCCAUGAUACUCGAAUGAAUUUUUUUAAUGAAGGGAGAAGAUUCUAAUUCAUAUUGUUGAUAGUGUUUGUAAACCAAAAUUUUCUCCAUGCCGGAGUCUUUUAUUAAAAUUUGCUAGCUAGUAAAAUAUCUUAAUUCCUUAAAAUGCCGACUAAAAAAUAUUUUGGAUGUAAAUUAUUCUAAUUGUAUUCACUUAAUUAAGGAGGCAUUAGAAAAAGGAAGUGAUCGUUUUCGGGAAUUAACCUUAGAUUCAUUUCAAAAUUUCUGCAACUCGGAUUAAAAAUUGGCUUUCAAUCAUCCGUUAAAAUUUAACUUGCAUUUCUUGCCCUCUAGAAAAGAAAUGGUUCAGUUUCCUUAAUGCAUAUUAUACCUUCAUUAUCUGUUCGAAAUGUUCUAAAGCGUUUCGCACUAUUGUUACUUCUUUUCACUUUUGUAAUAAAAUCCUCAAUCUAUAAUAUAAAAAUUGAUCUUGUAAGUUACGUUUUGACAAAUAUCUUAACCGUAUCGUUAUUUAUUCGCGGUUGACAUCCCAUAGCAAACGCUUGUUUGACACGAUAUGGCAUAUCAAUCGUGGAGUGAAUUGAUAUUUAAGAUGUAAUAUAAUUAUGUAUAUAAUUCUUUCUAAAUAAAGUACUUGCGCCGUUGAAAUCUAUUUCCCGAAUCUGCAAAUUUUGAUUAUAUAGCUUUAAAUAUGACAAAUCUCUAUUUUAAAACUGAAAUCUGGAUAAUGGCGUGAAUGAAAAGGGAGAAUUUAAAUUGUAUUUGGAUGAAAGGGCAAUCGAAAGGAGGAGGAAAAUGUAUCGUAAGGAUGUAAUUGCAUCGAUUAAGUUGGAUGAAACAUUCCAGGUAAAUUAAAAAUGUCUCAGAAUUGAUAUAUUCAGGAAUUGUAUAAAAUUACGUAGAUUAGGUUAAUUUCAUGUUGCUCUUUCAUUUAGUUAGUGAAAUAAAAAAGUCCUUAACUUUUUUCAUAACUUCAAAAGUAUACAACUUUGUAUGGUAUACAGCCUUGUUUUGCGGAUGUAUGCUUCGUUUAUUCCGUCUUUAUUUUUUCUUCCAUAUAAUCAUAUCCCCAUAUUUUAAAUUUUCGAAUACGAUGAAUUGAUCACUGAGCCUCCUGUCUUAAUUUUGCGACGGUGUAUAAAAUUAUAAUUUUUAAUUAUACUUUAAGAACUGAAAUUUGCAAAAUCUGUCAUUCCAGCAAGAAUAGUUUUGUAAAAUUAUUUAAUAUAACGGCAAGAGAAGUCCCCUGUAGUUAAGGUUCUCUAAUAGGUUUUGGAAUUCUUUAUCCCGGAAAAAUUACUCGGCUCUCCAAUAAGAUUUUUUAAAAAAUCAUCUGAAAGUUUCUAAUAAAUUAAAGUCGUUACUUCUGGUCUGUUGAUUGAAUGCGGAAGAAUAUUCAUAAUCUCCGUUUAUUCCGCACAAGUGACUUCUAAGAGGCGAGAAUGCCUAAAUUAUGCGGAUUUUACCUGUAUAGUCUAAUGCGGCAAGGGAGAGAAUCUUGCAGAUUGCUUCUUGUAUAGCUUUCAUCCAAUGAACAGAAAGAAUAAAUGUGAAUUUGAAUGAAUUUUUGAAGUAAAAUUAACCGGAAGCUUGAAAAGAUCAUCAUAUUAAUUGGUAUGACUUAGAUUAUCUAUUGGAUUCGUUUGGUUUUUCGCUCACUUAAGCGAAAUGCAAUGCCAUGGAACUAGCCAACGAAGAACAUUUAUCUGCACUGGAUAUUAGAGCAACUCGCUACAGACGGUACCUUUUUGUGCUAUUUACCGGAUCAAUGGAACAGCGUCAAUCCUCCAUCUAUAAAGUGACUACCCUGUCAGAUCUACACACAAAUUCUAUCGAUGUGGAUUCCCAAGAGGGAUGGUUUUCACAGCGUUGUACCGAAGUGAUAUCGGUAUUCAUAAGUUGAACAGCCUACGAUCUAUAUCGGUUUUGUUGGAUAAAGGCAUUUUCAACUGGCCGUAGUCCUGUUUCAUCAGUUCAGUAUGCACGCCGAACCACUGAAGCCAAUUGUGUUGGAUGAUGGGAAUGACAUCGAAAUGUGUGAAAUUCAUGUGCAAAUCCUGACACGUUUCCCCGGAACUCGUCACAACACAGACCCCAUCUAGAGCCCUUACAAUUUAAUGGAUGGCGAUCCAACAGUUCCCGUGGAUAGUUUAUCAAGUUUGAAACCCUGAGAAACAAGCUCAAUGCAUCUUAUUUAUUAAAGAAAUUUAAACCCUUAAAUCUGCCCAGAUAGGGAAUGUGAUAUGGCCAGCGUUGACUUGUCUUUGGUUGUCUGUACAUCUUUGAGAUGGCUCUCUUCUAUUUUAACGACUACGUCCUCUGAAUGCUUGCAUAUUCUUGAAGAAAUAUUUUGAUAAAUGUAGAAAUUCUUCAUGUUUCGCCAAUCUUGAAAUUUGGCGUAGAGUUCAUUGGUAAGCCUCUUAUUUGGAUCAUCUGUUUUUCAAAACGAGUAUUUGUCCCUUCAAACAAAAUUUUGUUUUACAAUGAUUUCUUGGACAUUUUUUUUUUCAAACUGCUUGUAAAUGGAACACUAAAAUAUUGUUGCAUAUUCAGUUCAUUCAAUCAUAAUACUAUUCUCUUCUCUAGAAAUAAGAAUGCGGAAAAAAAUAGAUAGGUUAUGAAAUACUUUUGCAUUGAUCAGUUUCUUAAUCUGCCAGCAAGAUCAAAUAUUAUCAAUCUAUAUACUAUUUCCUGAAAGAGUGAACAUUCGAUUCAGUUUUUCUAUAGAACAGCUAUAACUGUAUUUUAAAAUUUUAUUGCUAACUACAAUCGGUCAGUAGAGUUGAACCAAUUGACAAGACCUUAAACAGAACUCUCAUUGACUCGGCAAUAUAGGCAGGAAUCGCAACUUCGAUCAUAGAACUGCAAUUAGUGCGAAAUAAACGACCACGAUAAUUUUCAUGGUGCAUUCCUCUGAUAUAAAUUGUCAAUCCAGAAUGAAUCUUCAAGCUAUUAGCCAUUUUAGACAGUUUUAAAUCGGAUUGCCACUGCACGAUUGUAGAAAUUUGUGCAUUUUUAUUGUCAAUAUUAACUGUUUUUGUAUUGGAUCAGAAUUUUUUUGCUCUGUACUUUAUCAAUUUUAUAAAAAUUGUAGCUCUCUGUUUUCAUAUUUGUACUGAAGGCAAUGCAGUAAAUAUGAAAGCGGCUUCAUAAUCGUUGCCCAUUUCUAGAUCUUUAUUUUGCGAUUGAAUUUUUUGAUAUUUCAAUGGUUCUAAUAAGAGUAUAAUGUUAGUAUACUGAUACAUUUUGGAUUCUAUAAGGAUCUUGACUUUUAUCUUUGAAAUAUUAGCCUUAAAUGUACAAAAGAGAAUUUUUUUUCAUGCCUAAUUUACGUUAAUGGAGCUCAAAAACUCUAAAUUUACAAGAAUUGUCACAAACUAAACCAAUCUAAAUUAAUGAAAUUCUCUAUGAUAAGCGUAUAAUAUGCAUUCAUUUGUUUUUCUAUCGUAACGCAUAUUCAUGUAUACAUAUGCCAAGAGAUGGAAAUGCCUGUAUGAUGUGUAUGAAAUAUGAGACUAAAAACUGUCAAUAUUCAUACCUUUUUAAUGAUUGUUUAAAAUUUUUAGAAAAUAUUUCUGAAACACAAAGGUAUUUUUAGCACACAAGAUAUUUGCAGUUUGAUAAAUUGUAUUCUACUUAUAUUUUAAUUUAGAAUUUGAAGAUGUUUAGUUAUUUGGACUGUAAUUUAAAAUUGAGGUAUAAUUGCUCCUGUGUGUAAUCUUUGUUAACUGUUGUAUCUUAAUGUUCGAAAAUGCCCAGCAUUAAUUGUACCUAGAUUGAAAUUUAAAGAAACGGUAAAUUUAUACUCACUAAUUUAAAUCUCUUAAACAGAUAGUAAAAUAUUUUUAUAGUCUCCAUAAAUAUACAUUUUCAUUGCAUCCAUUUGCAGCUAACGUUUAAUCUAAACUUGUGAAAUUUGAAAAAAAUAAAGUUAGAAAUGGUUAAUGGCAAGUUUAAAAUAAUUGAUCUUAAAUUCUAAAUCUUAUCGUUGAGGAUUUUAAUUUUACUUAAAUUCAUUCGCGUUUAAAGGAUGAAUUGAUUGGCUCGGCCGGCCAGCCAGUCAAAAAAUCCUUUGAUUCUUGGAAAGCAUUUGAUUAUUGUGAUUGAUCACCACGAUAAUCAGUGCCUUUUUAGAGAAAAGAAAGAAAGAAAAAAAAACCGACGCGCCCAUCCGAUUAACAUGAAUAAAAAUUAUUAUAUUCGGUAGACUUCUUAGGAAUAAAAUUCUUUGAUAAAAAACGGUGAAUGGAUGGGAUGAAUUUUACAUAAGUAGCGCGUACUGUUUUUAAUUUCUUUUUUCAGUAUUACUAGAAAAUCUUGCGAGUUCUGAAUUAUGAACUUUCUUCGGAAGUAUAAUUCGCAGAAAGCAUUCCCUUCUGAAUAAUUUUUGUGUUUAAUCU